GAGCUUGCUCUUAUCUUGCUUUUAUGGGUGGCNAGUGGCGGACGGGUGAGGAAUACAUCGGAAUCUACCUUUUCGUGGGGGAUAACGUAGGGAAACUUACGCUAAUACCGCAUACGACCUUCGGGUGAAAGCAGGGGACCUUCGGGCCUUGCGCGGAUAGAUGAGCCGAUGUCGGAUUAGCUAGUUGGCGGGGUAAAGGCCCACCAAGGCGACGAUCCGUAGCUGNNNUGAGAGGAUGAUCAGCCACACUGGAACUGAGACACGGUCCAGACUCCUACGGGAGGCAGCAGUGGGGAAUAUUGGACAAUGGGCGCAAGCCUGAUCCAGCCAUACCGCGUGGGUGAAGAAGGCCUUCGGGUUGUAAAGCCCUUUUGUUGGGAAAGAAAAGCAGUCG
rnacentral:rRNA from 1 species